AGGGAUGUAGCGCAGCUUGGUAGCGCGGUUGUUUUGGGGACAAAAAGUCACAGGUUCAAAUCCUGUCAUCCCUA
rfam:Hordeum vulgare subsp. vulgare, WGS project CAJW01000000 data, contig: morex_contig_1423924